GGGAGCGGUAUUUACCGAAUAAAUAUUUUUACGGAACGUGUACAUGUAUAUACUGGAGGGUAGGGGGGCGUUUGUUUGGUGUAACUUUUUUUUUGUCUUUUUUUUUUUUGUACUUUAUAUUAUUUUUUACGCGGCGACGGUAUAGGUACACCAAGUCGGUUUUACGUUCGGAUUCGCGAGAGCGAAAAAAAAAACUAAAUAAAAACGACGACUGGUCGGACGGCCGUAUAUGUUUACCGUGCGACGUAAUGUCGUAAUUUCGAAAAAUGCGGUAAAUCGCAUUGGAUUUAGCGUACCUUCGAGUUUGGAAAUCCGUAACGAUACAUUGUAGUCGAAUACGAGAGCUAUUAUCGUGGAAAUACAAUACAUAUUAUUUGUAAUUUUCCAAAACCUUUUAUGUCUAUUUUAGAUUCUGAGCGGAGUGAGUAUAAUUAUGUAAAUUGGUUUUACAAUGACGUUUAUUUUUUUUUUGUACUGUGAACGACUU